rnacentral:rRNA from 1 species
AUGUUCCAGGAGCUUGCACCACAUGACCUACAUGACAAGUGUGGUCACCACUACGCGAUCUGCCUUGACCUGAAGAACCAACGUUUUGAGGUGCUUGAUUCAAUGCGUUCGGAAGCUGAUGCAGACCUUACUACGCAUGUUGAAUACUUCAUCAACACCUCAAAGAGACAUGGAACCAUCACUACGAAAACUCAAAGGUCCAGAUCAGACAUUUUCCAAUUGAGUACGUGGCAACUUCGAAGCAAGGAAACCGGCAGGAAUGUGGCUUUCAUACGUUAG